rnacentral:rRNA from 1 species
UACGUAGGGUGCGAGCGUUAAUCGGAAUUACUGGGCGUAAAGCGUGCGUAGGCGGUUCGUUAAGUUCGUUGUGAAAGCCCCGGGCUCAACCUGGGAACUGCAAUGGAAACUGGCAGGCUAGAGUGCGGGAGAGGAGAGUGGAAUUCCUGGUGUAGCGGUGAAAUGCGCAGAUAUCAGGAAGAACACCCGUGGCGAAGGCGGCUCUCUGGAACGCAACUGACGCUGAGACGCGAAAGCGUGGGGAGCAAACAGG